rnacentral:snRNA from 1 species
GUGCUCGCUUUGGCAGCACAUAUACUAAAAUUGGAACGAUACAGAGAAGAUUGGCAUGGCCCCUGCACAAGGAUGACACGCAAGUUCGUGAAGCGUUCCAUAUUUUU